rnacentral:lncRNA from 1 species
UUAUAUCAUUGUGUUAUUUCAUCAAACAUUUCUGACGAAUUCAAGAAUCGCAAUGGUAUUGUACCGUGCCGUCGACUCCGGUUCACUCGUUCUCUACAUAAUGUUGUGGUGUCGGGUGUGGUUUCAAUGUUUCAUAUCAGUCGAAAUAUACUUCGGUAACGUUUCUCUUUUGAAGUUGAUCUGAGUAAAUAAGUUAAGGACUUUUUUCUGACCGAACAUUACGACAACGUCUCUUUGCCUUGAAAACUCGGUUCAACAGAAUUGGUCUACUUUUCCACUGUCCACCGAGCCAGCAGACGGGUACUAAUUUGUCUAAUUUCAACUUCGGUCUACGCGUCAACUAUCAUAAACGAGCUGGUAGGAAAUAUUUUCAAGGAUCAACAACUUGCAUCAUGGUGAUUUUAUUAGUUGUUAUUAAUGAAAUAUACUUCUUGUUGAUC